AGGAGAAAGAGGAGGAGGAGGAGGAGGAGAAGAAUCUAACUCUUAAAAACCAAAAGGUAUUGGAAUGCUGUCUCUAGGACCUCUCUCAUAUGGUGGUCUCUGAGCUUACUCUAAGAAUGGCUGCUGCAUGAAUAAGUCGGGAACCGCAUGGCCUCUCGUGGGGAUUUAAGGAAGAUAGAUGGUACGAGAUGUUGUCUCCUCCGCAGACGCUUUCUGCUCUGGAGUUUCCUUGACCAGAGUGUUUCUUCACAGCAACAGAACAAUGACCAAGACACCUAAUUAGUGAGCUCUAGACCAAUGAAAGGCCUUGUUUCAAAAAACAGGGUGGUGAGCCAGCAAGAUGGCUCAGCAGAUAGAGGUGCCCGCUUGCAAGCUUGCUGACCUGAGUUCGAUCCCCAGGACCCACACGGUGGAAGGAGAGAACGGACUCCUGCAAGCUGUCCUCUGACCACAAGACACAAGCCAUGGCACUUGAGCACCCCCCCACAAUAACUAAAUAAAGAGAUAGAUGCAAUAUUGUUUAAGAAAAGAUUUUAAUAAGCCAGGAUGGACAGUUUCUGAGCAAAGACACAUCCAAGGCUGAGCCCUAGCCUAAACACACAGACACAGACACACACACAGACACACACACAGACACAGACACACACACACACACGUGGGUGCUCACUCAUGCACACACAUGCACACACAGUGUCUUCCUAAUACCUGCCCACUUCAAGCCUAAACCUUGAACUUGCCAUUCCAGGCCUUUCCUGGCCCAGCACCACCACACUCACCACCAUCACUGACACUACAGCAUCUGAGCCUGCCAUUUAACGCUCUCCCUACCUUCAUCUCCUCAUCCUUGCAGCAGGGAUGGCAGAGGUGGCACUCGCUGUUACAGAUGGGCCUUUCUCAGUCUCAAUGCUGACCCCAUGUUCUCUCCCUGUGGGAUAAUGGCAGCAUUCCCUCCUAAACUCUGCACUUUGGUUACUGCCUGAACUAUAAAUGCUCACAGCUAGAUCAUAAAACGCCACACACUUUUGUUCGACUCCUUAAGGGCCCCUCUCUGGAAUCCAUGACCAAACCCAAAGAAAGCCCAUCACAGAUGUCCUGUGCAGUCGGUGCCAACCUGCCCACCAUGGGAACGCACCAUGUUGACAAAGGUCUCCAGGGGAUACCCCACGGAGCUGAAUGGAACCUGCCAAGGCCUUGAGCAUAGUCAAUUCUCAGGCCCAUCUUCAGAUGUGACAGUUGGGAGGCUUGCCACUCAGCCAAAGAUAGUUGAGAUGCCAGUCCCAUAGAGUGAAGAAAUGAAGUGAGCCAGUUUGUCAUGACAAUGGACCACACAGUGGCUUCAACCAGACAUUUGUGUCCCAGUAUCCUGGAGGCUGCGGGUCUGAGAUGAGAGGGUCAGUGUAGACAGUUCCUUCCGAGACCUCUCCCCAUGGCUGGGACUAUGUCCUUCUCCCAGCUCUCCCACAGUCCCCUUCUGGAUGUGUCCUUACCUCCUUUUCAUAUUAAGACAGUGAUAUUGGAUCAGGCACCACCCCAAUGGCCUUAUUUUAAAGUCACUCCUACUUUAAAGAUACGAGUGCGGUUACAGUCCCAUCCUGAGAAAUUGGAGUCCAGAUGUCCGCACACAAGUUGCAGCAGGGGAUAGUUUAGCUGGUAACACAGACAGCUUACGGAACACUGAACAGUCCCUGCUUAUGGAAAGUCCUCAGUCAAUGUCGGCCAACGUCCCCAUGCUCACUGCCACCCCCACUGACCUCAUGUUCCCCACUGCAGCUCUGGGGGACUGUCUGAGGCCCCCAGGCCGCCUUUCAGCCUGUGCCUUCUGCCUGAGGUGCCGCUCUUGGUCUCCAUUCACCCCAGUCCUUCCCGUCUUGGGAGGCCAGCCCUCCUCCUCCCUGGGCUAAAGGGCUCCGGCCUGUGUCUGCGCCCCUGUCUGCGCCCCUGUCUGCACCCCUGUCUGAGAGCCCUCCAGCCUAAUGGGGAUGGGAAGAUUUGGCACUGUAGCUUUCAAUCUCAGUUUUUGUUUUGUUUUACAAUAUAGACAUCGGGUGCAUUUUCCUUUCUGGUUAUAAAAAUGCUGUGUUCUCAGUUUGUAAAACCUGUACAGCACACUUUCUUUUAAAAAGAAAGCCAAAAAUCAUCUUAAACUAAUAUACUGAGUUUUGUUUUGUUUUUGAGACAGGUUUCAUGUAGCUCAGGCUGGUCUGGAUGAACUUGAAUCCUGCCCCCACUUUUCAGGUAUUGGGAUUUCAGGCAGGCAGCUUCACUCCUUGUUUUAGGGGUGCCUGGGAUCAAACCCAGGACUUCAUGUCCCUUAGGUAGGCAGUUUACCAACUGAGCUAUAUCCCCAGCCAUGGUGGAUGAGUUUUAAUGUCAUAGCUUAUGUCUCUCCGGAAUCGUUCAUAGGUGUGAAAUGCAGUAUGUGUAUGAUGCUCUUUCCCUUGAUCCCAGGGUAACAGACUGUAGUUCACACCCCAGACUUAACUGCCCAGCUCCAAGUAGAGAGGAACUGUAUUAAACAUAUAUGUUCACUUACAGUGUGCAUCCUGAAAGCACACGCAUUUUAGAAGCAAAAAACUAUGACAUGGUCGAGGAGGCGGCACAGGAAGUAAAAGCACUUGUUGGGGAAUGUGUGCACUGUGUGAAGAUGUGUCACUGUGACUGGUGUAAUAAAGAGCUGAAUGGCCAAUGGCUAGGCAGGCGGUGUAGGCGGAACUUCGGGGCAGAGAGAGAGGCAGUAGGAGAUAAAUCUAGUGCGUGUCAGACGCCAAUGAGAGGUGGCGGGAGUCAGACAUACAAAGUGAAAGAAAAGUGAAAAUCCACAAACAAAACAUAGAUUAAUAUAAAUGGGUUAAUUUAAUUUAUAAGAGCUAGUGAGACAAGUCUAAGCUAAGGCCAAGCUUUCAUGAUUAAUAAGUCUCUGUGUAGUUAUUUGGGAGCUGGCUAGUGAGACAGAAAAAGACUCGUUACAAGCACUGGCUACCUGAACCUGAGCCCCAAGUUCAACCCCAGAACUCAUGGGAAAAUCCAGAUGCUGCAGCAGGCAUCUGUAAUCCCAGAGCUCCUAUGUGGGAUAGACAGCAGAGACAACAGAAUCAGCUGGAAUCGCUAAGGUCAGCCAAGCCUCGAGUACUCGGUACAGCAGCAGAAGUGAGAGACCCUGCCUCAACCGGGUGGGGGCACCAACUUCUAAACACUGCCAUCUGACUUCCACACAUGUGUGUGCACACCCACACUCACACAGAUAGCACCCACAAAAGCAAGGAGGAGAGGAGAGAAGGAAAGAGCAGGCCACAUACUACACAAUAGAGUCUAUGGGUUCUAUGCUGGGAUGGGGUUGCUUUAUUUUAGGACCUGGAAUCGUGCUGUGUUGUGCCAGACAAUCUUGAGCUCCCAUGCUCAAAAGACCUCCUGCUGCAGCCUCCCAAAUAUCCAAGAUGGUAAGCGCCUGUCUCAUGAAUACUGUCGUUUAACCACGCUUGACCAUCAUUCCACAUCAACAAGUGAAUGGUGCUGCUGUGGAUUUUAGUGGCUGCGGAGUAUUGCAUCACACUGAAGCCCCCGCAUCCCCUGAGACUUUGCCACCAUGCAGUUAGACUGAGCUUCUCUGAGCUCCCAACCCCUGGAUGGCCCAGGCCCCCACUCUCUCAUCCCCACCGUACCCUCUGCUUCUUGGUUCUUGGCUGGAAUUUGGUCUUCAUGUGCAGGCUCUCUCUCACCUCAGGGCCUUUGCACAGCCCCUCCACUGCCUUCACCCCACUCCCUGCUCACACACCCUCUCCAGGAAGGCUUCUGUGACUUAGUCCUCCGCAGGUGGGCUCCUCUGAUCUUUCUGGGGACACUUAGGCUUACCAUUAGGGUAAACCAGGAAAUUACCAGUAGUUGACCACUCUGAAAUUACACAGUAGGCCAUUUCUGAUGGUUAACCUAAUAUAGACCCAUCACACCACCCCUUCAGAGUUGAGUGAUGACAUUUGAGACAGGGACCUGUCAGCAAUGCUCACUGUGGCACUAUCCCAGCCCUGUACCCAAACUCAGACUGCCUCAUCUGUCGAUAUCAAUGAAUAAAGAAGCUUCAAGUCAGAUUGAACUUGAUGUGGUAAGUGCCUUAGCACAGUCUAUGCCAGUGUGGGGGAGGGUCACCUGCUUUCCACUUGGCACUAGUCAAGGAGAACAGAGACAUGAACAGAGCGGGGGUGGAGGCUGGGUGCACAUCACUGGCCACAGUGGCUGGCUCCAGCUGCUGUAAUUUCCAACCUAGUUUCUCUAGGACUGUGCCCAGUCUCACUUUGAAGUGGCCAAUAGCAGCUGGGCUCCUCUAGAUGGAGAGACCCACAUGGUGAGAUGUCUGGGUGCUGCCUCUCACCAGUCUCUUUCUCUGGCCUGGUGGUCCAGGCUUAUAGCUGGUGCACUGUGUACCCAUGGCCACAUGGUGGCAGUGUUGGCACCGACUGGGCUCUGGGAGGCACAGGAAGCCUCAGCCAGCUCCUGCAAGAUGCCUUCAGAGGCCGCUGGGUAGUGUGCAUGCUGCGUGCACAAAGGGUACGUGUGCUGGGUGGUAUUCGAGGGUGCCCCCGUGUCUGUAAUUAUAGAUGGAGAAGUCUGGAGGGGUCUGUGUACAUAGGCACACAUGCACGCUCAGCUGUCUGAAUGUGGUGUUUGUGCCUCCGUGGGUGUUCUCAACAGUGUGUCUUUGUGUCUUUUUGCAUCUGUGUAACUAUAUGAGAUAAGGAUGCUCACAGGGGGGAGAGUGUUUGGUGUGCAAAAACAUCAUGGUGCUGAUGUGCACAUGUGGGGUAAGUGUGUUUCUGGGAGAGAGGAGCUGCCAGCUUGAGGUUGUGUAUAUCUGGCUGUUGGUCUACACCAGUACCAGGGACUCCUGGAGCUCUGCCUCCCCCUGCCUGGGACCCUGUCCUCCAUAGACAGCUGUUCUGAUUCUGACUCUCAGGGCCUCAAACUGGGGCCUCACUGGCUGCAAAUGACCUAAGAUGCUCUGUCCCCACCCUCCCUGCCCACAUCUCUCCCUGCCCCCUCCCCCCGCUUCCAGCCACUGACACCCGCAAUAGCAGAGCUUCACCCCCCACAGCUUCACGACGCAUAGUACACAUAGUGGGGUGACAACCUCCAGUUGGCAUGCAACAGGCCUACUCCAGUUCUCCAACCUGCAGAAGAGAUUCCAUACCCUGUCACUAGGGUCCGGGGUGGUCCCACAGAGCUAUCUCAGUGGGUGGCCAUGUGCCUUAUCCUUACCUGGUGGUGCCUGAGACAGAGCUCUGCCUCCUACCUCAAGGUGGGACUGGCUCUCAGAAUCUGUGGCCCAAACCUUGGGAGGAUGUGGGGACGCCACCAGCUCCUUCUCCUGGUCCCAUCUCUUUCCCUGUGCAGUCAGAUCACAGCUCCCUCCCAGCCUGCUCCCUCCCCCUGCCAGGCUAAGGCCAACAGUGGCUCCUCUGGCCACGUCUGGCCACCCUUCCCCCCGUGGUUAUUAAUAAUUGGGUAUUAGGCAAGAGGCACUAUUGAUUGUGGCGCGGGCAGCUCCAGGUCGAGGUAAUUUAUGGAAACACCGGUGUCCCUGGUGAUAAAUAAUGAGGUGAUCGUGAGGAUGGGUCACUAGUGAGUGGCCUCCACCCUCUACCCUGUCCACUGACACACUAGCUCAUAAAUGGAGGAGGGAGCGAGCAACCCAGCAAGUGGACAGACAAAGGACGCUUUGGUGAUGUGAGCCUCCAGAAGACAAGGGGAAGCAGAGACAUGGCUCCGUGGGUCCAGGUGGCAAAGGGCAGAAUGGCAGGCAGGGCAUGGGAGGGAAACCGUGGGGACAAGGAGACAUG